UACGUAGGGUGCAAGCGUUAAUCGGAAUUACUGGGCGUAAAGCGUGCGCAGGCGGUUCGCUAAGACAGAUGUGAAAUCCCCGGGCUUAACCUGGGAACUGCAUUUGUGACUGGCGGGCUAGAGUAUGGCAGAGGGGGGUAGAAUUCCACGUGUAGCAGUGAAAUGCGUAGAGAUGUGGAGGAAUACCGAUGGCGAAGGCAGCCCCCUGGGCCAAUAUUGACGCUAAUGUGCGAAAGCGUGGGGAGCAAACAGG
rnacentral:rRNA from 1 species